GGACUACCCGGGUUUCUAAUCCUGUUUGCUCCCCACGCUUUCGUGUCUCAGCGUCAGUAUCUGUCCAGUUGGCCGCCUUCGCCGCCGGUGUUCCUCUCGAUAUCUACGAAUUUCACCUCUACACCGAGAAUUCCACCAACCUCUCCAGUACUCGAGCUUCGCAGUAUCGAGUGCACUUCCCGGGUUGAGCCCGGGGCUUUCACAUCCGACUUACGAAGCCGCCUACACACGCUUUACGCCCAGUAAUUCCGAACAACGUUUGCACCCUCUGUCUUACCGCGGCUGCUGGCAC
rnacentral:rRNA from 1 species